UAUAGAAGAGAAGAAGAGAGGGACCUCGUCUUCUUCUUUCUCUAUAGAAUAGAAGAAGACGAGGUCCCUCUCUUCUUCUCUUCUAUA
rnacentral:pre_miRNA from 1 species